rnacentral:rRNA from 1 species
AGAGUGUGAUCCUGGCUCAGAACGAACGCUGGCGGCGUGCUUAACACAGUGCAAGUUCGAGUGCGCGCUUCGGUAGCAAUACUGGAGCGGCGCACGGCGCACGGGGUGCGGUAACACGUGGGGAAUCUGCCCUUCGAUGGGGAAUUAACCUGNCGAAAGCGAGGCUAAUUCCGCAUAACAUUUCCGAGGAUUUCGGUUCUUGGAUUCAAAGGAGCAAUUCGUCGGAGGAGGAGCCCGCGCACGAUUAGCUAGUUGGUAGGGUAAUGGCCUACCAAGGCUUUGAUCGUUAGCUGGUCUGAGAGGAUGGCCAGCCACACUGGAACUGAGACACGGUCCAGACUCCUACGGGAGGCAGCAGUGGGGAAUCUUGCGCAAUGGGCGAAAGCCUGACGGAGCGACGCCGCGUGUGGGAAGAACGCCUUCGGGGUCGUAAACC